GCGAAAAGAAGGGUAACGCGAUAUCGUGCGAUCCCCCGUUGAGAUUCUCGCCAAUGCGAUCCCGAAGGACGGAGACAUUGCGAUGAAUCAUAGGAAGAAAAUGAUCUCUACGCGCUGCCGACGGCAUCUUAAACCCAACCCUUUCUCUAACUCUGUCGUUUCGCGAUGGAAAGCAAGAACGGAUGCAGAAUUUACAAAUGCCAACGGACUCUGGCGAAAUCCAGAGCGAUUACUCGGAAAAUGAAAGCAGGUGCCGUACAGUCUCUCGCUGGCACUCUCCUGCUAUCUCUUAUCAAUAAUCUUCCUUGCUAACUGGAACGAUGUGAACGAGCCAGAUGUAUCUCUUAUCGUAUCCUGAUACUUCGAAGCACACUCACGUUAAAUUUCUUCUUCGAAACGAGAUGAAUGCUUCGAUGAGAUAAUCCGAAUUCAAAGAGGAGGAAAGGUUUCCAUCGAUAAACAGCCAAUAAUACAGAUAUCCUGGUUCCUCGUUUGAGCGAGCUGAUAGUCGCGCAUCGCUGGUUUGUUAUGUUUUAAGCGAGAACGCGUAAUGUCAGGAACGCUUGACACGUGAUCGAAUUAUUAUCAUGAAAAUAUUAUAUUGAUAUUUAUAAGAGUAAUAAUAACAACAACAACAACAACAACAACAAAAACAACAAUAACAACGGAUAACGACGGCGACAACGAU